GUCUACGGCCAUGCUACUCUAAAUGUGCCUGAUCUUGUCUGAUUUCGGAAGCUAAGCAGGGCAGGGCCUGGUUUAGUACUUAAAUGGGAGACCACCUAGGAAUACCAGAUGCUGUAGGCA
ensembl:rRNA 5S_rRNA 5S ribosomal RNA